rnacentral:rRNA from 1 species
UACGGGGGGGGCAAGCGUUGUUCGGAAUUACUGGGCGUAAAGGGCUCGUAGGCGGCCAACUAAGUCAUGCGUGAAAUCCCUCAGCUUAACUGGGGAACUGCGUCUGAGACUGGCAGGCUUGAGUGCAGGAGAGGAACGCGGAAUUCCUGGUGUAGCAGUGAAAUGCGUAGAUAUCAGGAGAAAUACCGAUGGCGAAGGCAGGUCUCUGGGCUGACACUGACGCUCAUGCACGAAAGCGUGGGGAGCAAACAGG